GGAUGUUAUAAAUAUAUGUGCUUGUGUAAUCAUGUCUUUGUCUUUGCAGCUGUUUGACCCAGUGGAGCCCACAGGCUGAGUUGUUCUGCCAAGGUAUUUAUGACCGCGUCCAACUCCAUCCCUUUCAGCCUCUGCAGGAGAGAGAGGGCGCUCUCUAGACCCACGGUUGAAGCACAUCCCACCCCAUCACCCAGACAGAUGUAAAGACCACGGCAGACUCCCCCCCAUCCAGGAAAAUCACAGGAGUUUAGUCAGCAGUGUGCAACGUCACUAUGUUAGAAGCACAUUAUUCUCUAUCAUGCAGAAUUGUCAGCUCAUUGUAACAUGUGAAGCUCGUUCUAGAAUACAGGCGUGGGUGAUUUCUGCCUGUACUUCACAAUGUGCAAGCUUCUAUUUCUACCUAGUAAAAACACAAAGUUCAACUAUUCACGGGCUACAAUUUAGACCACAAUUAGCUGAAUGAGGUGUUAGUGAAGGGCUGGAACAAAGACCUGUAAACUCCUGUCCCGUGUAUAAAAAAAAACUGUCUGUGAUUGUCAUGACAAUUUGCCCUCAUGUACUGAACAAGCUUUAAUAAUCACCUUUGUGUCCUUCACUUGGGGAUGCUACAAUGUUUAUUCUUUUCUACCGAGCCAUUUACUUCAUGCUCCUGUUCUUAUCUUUUAACAUUAUUUUUUUAUUGUUAAUGCAUUGUCGAGAAGGAACCUGCAAAUAAGCAUUUCAUUGGACUAUGUCUAUCCUGUACGACUAAGACAACUUGACUUUCUUUUGUAAAAUGGACUGUGUUCUAAAGGACUAAGUUCUAAAGGACUGAGUUCUAAAGGACUGAGUUCUAAUGGACUGUGUUCUAAAGGACUGUGUUCUAAUGGACUGAGUUCUAAUGGACUGUGUUCUAAAGGACUGUGUUCUAAAGGACUGUGUUCUAAUGAACUGUGUUCUAAUGGACUGUGUUCUAAAGGACUGGGUUCUAAUGGACUGUGUUCUAAUGGACUGUGUUCUAAAUGACUGUGUUCUAAAGGACUGUGUUCUAAUGAACUGUGUUCUAAAGGACGGUGUUCUAAUGAAUUGUGUUCUAAAUGGACUGAGUUCUAAUGGACUGAGUUCUAAUGGAUUGUGUUCUAAAUGGAUUGAGUUCUAAUGGACUGAGUUCUAAUGGACUGAGUUCUAAAGGACUGAGUUCUAAUGGACUGAGUUCUAAAGGACUGAGUUCUAAUGGACUGAGUUCUAAAGGACUGAGUUCUAAUGGACUGAGUUCUAUGGACUGAGUUCUAAGGAUUCAUGCAGGUACAUAAAAAACAAUAAAUGGGUUAAUAUUGUUAAAAAUAACAA